CUCAUCUUGAGUACUGCAUUCAGUUCUGGAUGCUAGAAUGCAGACAAACUGGGUUCAGAAGAGGGCAACGAGGAUGAUCAGAGGACUGGAAACAAAGCUCUAUGAGGAUAAACAGAAAGAAACUGGGCCUGUGUAGCCUUGAAAAGACUGAGAGGAGAUAUGACAGUGCUACUCAAGUACUUGAAAGGUUGCCACACAGAGGAGGGCCAGGAUCUCUUCUCGAUUAUCCCAGAGUGCAGGACACAGAAUAAUGGCUCAAGUUGCAGGAAGCCAGAUUUCAACUGAACAUCAGGAAAACUUCCUACCUGUUAGAGCAGUACAACAAUAGAACCAAUUACCUACAGAGGUGGGGAGCUCUCCCACACUGGAGGCAUUCAGAGGCAGCUGGACAUCCACACGUCGCGUAUGCUUUGAUUUGGAUUCUUGCAUUGAGCAGGGGAUUGGACUCUAUGGCCUUAUGGGCCCCUUCCAACUCUAUGUUUCUAUGAUUUUCAGUGCUUGUCCAUGUAUGUGCAGACCACCACACCAAGUCUGGCAGCACUAAUGAGUGACUACACUUCAUGGCCACUCUUGUGGGACUUUCUUCUCCAGGCCUCUGGUUAAUGUCCAGGGGGAAAAUAUAAAUUGGAGUAAAGAUUAAAGGAAAGACACAUCAAAAGAACAAGUUAUAGAUGAAACCUGUUUUGAAAACAGCAUAUACAAAGAAUAAAUGGAAAUACAUCAAUAUUCUCUAUUUUGCAGCUGAUUGGUGGCUGAGUUAUUUUAUCACAAUAUGACACAAGAAGUCCUAGCCAGUUUCUGACUGCAUUUGACCCCUGGAAAAACAGACUUGUCUCUGCCUCUUUGAAAAGUUUUUCAUGAGCACUGAACGCACUAAGGUGCCUCUAGACCAUCAGAUUUCACUUCAUUAUGGAAAAUUGUGCAAGCGGAUAUCUCAGUCCACAACAUAUCUCAUUAGUCACUGUUUGAUACUCCUAUUUUCUCAUUUUUUGUCUGUGUAAUAUCUUGUGCAAGGAGUAACCAAUGUGAUACUCUCCAGAUGUUGGACUCCAACUUCCAUCAGCCCCAGCCAGCCUGGCGAAGGACCAGGUAUGAUGGAAACUGUAGUCCAGUAACAUCUGGAGAGCACCAUAUUGCCUAUCCGUGUUGUAAGUCAUUAACCAAGCAAUUUCUUCAGGGUUUUUGCACCAGUGUAUCCAUGUGUGCCUUUCUCCUUUCAUCCAGCAAUAUCUUUUACUAGGAGAUAAAUCUCAGUCCCUUAUAAAUCCAUUUCAAGGUAUCACAUGUAAUCAAAUUGAUCAGUGGGUGUAUAGA